CCUACGUGAGGCAGCAGUGAGGAAUAUUGCUCAAUGGACGAGAGUCUGAACCAGCCAAGUAGCGUGAAGGAUGACUGCCCUAUGGGUUGUAACCUUCUUUUAUAUGGGAAUAAAACAGGGUAUGCAUACCCUCUUGUAUGUACAAUAUGAAUAAGGAUCGGCUAACUUCGUGCCAGCAGCCGCGGUCAUACGGAGGAUCCGAGCGUUAUCCGGAUUUAUUGGGUUUAAAGGGAGCGUAGGUGGAUUGUUAAGUCAGUUGUGAAAGUUCGCGGCGCAACCGUAAAAUUGCAGUUGAUACUGGCAGGCUAGAGUACAGUAGAGGUGGGCGGAAGUCGUGGUGUAGCGGUGAAAUGCUGAGAGAUCACGAAGAACUCCGAUUGCGAAGGCAGCUCACUGGACUGCAACUGACACUGAUGCUCGAAAGUGUGGGUAUCAAACAGGAUUAGAUACCCGGGUAGUC
rnacentral:rRNA from 1 species